AUGAUGCCGCCCACCCAACCGUGGUAUACGGGUCCAAUACCAACUCUAUGUUAAACCCAGGCGCCCGCAGCGAGUACUCGGGCACGGGCGCGUACUCUUCAUCUCCGCGGGGAGGUCUGGGCUGGUGCUGCGCCAGCAAGACUUGCAGCCGUGACCCCGCGUGCACCAGCUCCCUACGGAUCGUGCCAUCGAUUCGACACGCGCACGCAUCCGCCUCCUGUUGUGCUUCCCUUUAGGACGACAAGCUGUGAGCGGCUUGCACGCCGGCACAUGCCCUAUCCACGAGCUGCCUUCCGCCUGACACAUGGUCUCCUGUGAGAGGCGCGUGCACACGGGAGAGCGUGGGGUGCCCCAUGCCUUCACACCGACUCCUUGUGUCGCUCCAUCUGUCGCCGGCGCAUGCGGGCAAGCGAUCCUGGCAACGGCCCCCGCGUGCCUCCCACACGCCACCGGCAACAAGGUUGUGCUGGAAGCAGGCUGCAUGAUCCGAAAGCGCGAGCACGGUGCUUGACGCGCUGUGAAGCACCGCUGGCAGGGUGUGCCCCAUGCCAGCGCGGCAUCCCAGAGGUCAGCAGGGCACGAGCGCCGGCCGACGAGAGGCGCGGAAAAGUGUGUGCCGAUGAGCCCCACAGUGCGUGUGCGCGAAACGUGCCGGAAGCAUGCCAAGAACACCGCGAAUGGCCGCAUGGGCACCCCCCCCCUCCUCCCCAGGCUGCGAUGUGAGGAGUCUCCACACAGACUCAUGGGGCAGCCGCGGGCUGCAGCGACUAAGUGCGGAAGAUGGCAUGCACGCCAGGCGCAGGGUCUCCGUAGGGCGCUGGGCAGGCGCUGGCCAGCCUCCUCCCCCGACCUCAUGCGGGAUGCACCUGGACCACCGCCUACUACACACCGACGUCAGAGGCCACCGCCUCGGCCCUGGAGCAGGACCGUAGACGCGAUGCGCUCAGGUGAAGGCCCGCCGACCACCCCAUGUCCGUCUGGCGCCUCCGGCGCCGCAGGUACCCCGGACGGAGACGUGCAGAGGGAAGAUAAGAGCGCGUAAAGCACGUAGCCGCCGAUUUGGCGGCGGGAUGGUUCGUCCUAGACGCCGAGGGUGUAGCCGUAGCGGGAGCGUGGUGGGUGGGGUGUGGCUGCGUAUGCGCGUGUCUGUCUGGACUUGCUCGUGCUGGGCUGACACGACGACGAAGACAAAAAGAAAGGACGCCCUGAGGCGCUCCUCUUCCUGGCUCUCUCCCUCUCCGUGAAAGAUGAGCGCAUGGACACCGUUUGGCAGAGCGACUCUCUCAUAGCAGUGGUGUCUUUUGCAGACGGAGAAGCGCUUGCGAGGGAGGGCGGAAAGCGAGGAACGUGAGUGCCACGGCCGAGGCUCUGCGUGUUGAGAAGUCGGCGACGUUCUUUGCUGGGGCAUCGACCUGCUCAGGACGACCGCAGCAGCGAGGACGCAGCGCGGGCGAACCGCCGGCCGAUGCUGACGUUUUUUCUUUAGUCUUGCUGCUGUUUUGUCUUGCGCGGCCCUGCCACUGCUCACUCCUGGAGCGUAGAGAACUAGAGGAAGUGAAGGAGAUGGAGCACAUAAAAGGAAACCACGCACAUGCAGCGCUGCAUUGUGGGACUGGAGGGGGCAAGGACGGGCACACAGAGGGAGGGAGAGAGAAGCGUGACAAGGAAUCCCGACGGCGCUGCUGUAAGCAGGCACGUCUCUUCGCUGUAAGAGGGAAGUGAGUGAGGGGCCCCAGCAUUCCCCUCAUUCAAGUGUACAUAGUGUUGUCUCUCUCUCUCUCUCCACCAGGACACACACACACACACACACACACUGUUGCGUUCACCCCUUCAGCUGUGUGCGGGGGAGAGGUGGCUGGGGCGGGCGCGAGGUCUGCGUGAGAUGACGGCGUUUGCCGCUGCUCUCUUGCGUGAGCUUUCGUUGUACAUGCAGUGUCUUUUUCGCGUGCUUCUUGCCCACAUAGCAGCUGCGGCGGACAUGUGCUGUGAUGCACUCAACCUCCUCCCGCUUUCUGGAUCUUGCUAUGCUUGCCCUCACCCCCCCCCAUCAUCUCGCGUGCACACGAAG
rnacentral:misc_RNA from 1 species